UCUCUGUUAGUUUGUAACCUAAAUCGCCUCUCGUCUCAGCGCGUCUCCGACUCUCCACUCUAGCUCCUCUCCAUCGGUCGCCUCUUGAAUCCGACUCUCCACUCUAGCUCCUUUCCGUCGCUCGCCUCUCGUCUCCGACUCUCCUUCCAGCUCUCUUUCUCGAUGAGCUUAUGCCCCCUCUCGUCUCCGACUCUCCACUUCGGCUCCUCUCCGUCACUCUCGUCUCCGACUCUUCUUCAAGCUCUCUUUCCCAAUGAGAUUCUCUUCUGGACUCCUCUGCUCACCCAGUUUGUAUAAAUCGGCUCUGUUAGUCUGUACUAUUGGUAACCUAAAUUGGCUAUGUACUCUACUGCAGCUCCUCUCCGUCGCUCGCCUCUCGUCUCCGACUCUCCUUGAAGCUCUCUUUCUCGAACUCAGUGGCGCCACAACAGAGAUUAUGGUGGAUUAAUGUGUGGAGCAGCUACAAGCAACGAGGGCUAUUAAUGAAUCCGGCAAUCCAAUAGACAAAGUUGGUCAGGGACUUCACAAUUCCCUUCCCCUGCCUAUCAGAUCAGAUCCUCUAAGUUAUCUUUUCUAGUUCUGUAUUUUCUCUUACGAUUAAAGUGUGAUUUGUUUGCUUUUAGAUUAGAUAAACUUUUUAAUUCAUGGAGCGUAUUAGUCCAUGAUAGACGUAUUGUAAGGAAAUAUUACAUUUUGUUGCGUGAGAUCGUAUUAUGGAUGUUUA